rnacentral:rRNA from 1 species
CGGGGCUUAAAGUCUUGUAAUUGGAAUGAUGGGAAUUUAAACCUCUUCCAGAGUAUCAAUUGGAGGGCAAGUCUGGUGCCAGCAGCCGCGGUAAUUCCAGCUCCAAUAGCGUAUAUUAAAAUUGUUGCAGUUAAAAAGCUCGUAGUUGAAUUUCUGCUGCAUUGCUUGUGUCCCUCUGGGGUCUGUGCAUGUGGCUUUUUUCGGACGGAGUUUCUUUGUCUGAAUGUUUACUUUGAGAAAAUUAGAGUGCUCAAAGCAGGCUUUCGCCUUGAAUAGUUUAGCAUGGAAUAAUAAAGUAGGACUUUGGUUCUAUUUUGUUGGUUUUAGGUACCAAAGUAAUGGUUAAUAGGAACAGUUGGGGGCAUUCGUAUUUAACUGUCAGAGGUGAAAUUCUUAGAUUUGUUAAAGACGAACUACUGCUAAAGCAUUUGCCAAGGAUGUUUUCAUUAAUCAAGAAC